rnacentral:rRNA from 1 species
GGACCCGCACAAGCGGUGGAGCAUGUGGUUUAAUUCGAUGCAACGCGAAAAACCUUACCUACUCUUGACAUACUUGGAAGCUCUUGUAAUGAGAGUGUGCCUUUUGGAACCAAGAUACAGGUGCUGCAUGGCUGUCGUCAGCUCGUGUCGUGAGAUGUUCCGUUAAGUCGGAUAACGAGCGCAACCCUUACCCUUAUUUGCCAGCGAUUCGGUCGGGAACUAUAAGGGGACUGCCGGUGAUAAACCGGAGGAAGGUGAGGACGACGUCAAGUCAUCAUGGCCCUUACGAGUAGGGCUACACACGUGCUACAAUGGGGAAUACAGACGGACGCUAACCCGCGAGGGGAGCU